GACGAACGCUGGCGGCGUGCUUAACACAUGCAAGUCGAACGAAGUGGCGAACGGGUGUGUAACGCGUAAUCAACCUGCCCUUCAGAGGGGGACAACAGUUGGAAACGACUGCUAAUACCGCAUACUGAAGGAGGGGAUUGCGUCCGAUUAGCUAGUUGGAGGGGUAACGGCCCACAAAGGCGAUGAUCAGUAGCCUGUCUGUGGGGGUGAACGGCCACAUUGGGACUGGGACACGGCCCCGACUCCUACGGGUGGCAGCAGUGGGGAAUCUUCCGCAAUGGACGAAAGUCUGAUGGGGCAACGCCGCGUGGGUGAUGACGGCCUUCGGGUUUUAAAGCUCUGUUAGUCGGGACGCGGUACCGGAAUAGAAAGCCACGGCUAACUACGUGCCAGCAGCCGCGGUAAUUC
rnacentral:rRNA from 1 species